rfam:Cavia porcellus supercont2_2 genomic scaffold, whole genome shotgun sequence.
UGGCGCCCAACGUGGGGCCUCCUGGCACAGGGGAGUCAACGAGGGAGCUGUUCGAGAAAGCCGGCUAAAAGUGAAAGCAAAUUGAACCAAAGACUGCAGCGAAAGGAAAAACAAACUAAAUCAAGGAUCAAAGCUAAAAGCAAAAGAACAUUAAAAUCAAGGAUUGAGGCCUGUGAGGAUGAUUACCUGACGUCCCACCCGAGUCACGGUGACCCCAUUCCCUUUCCCGGACAUAGGUCAAGCAUUGAGCGAACACGAAGUGUUCAUGGGAGGCCUUAUAAAGGCAUGAAAGACAAGAGGGGUAAGGGUGAGAACAAAAGAAUUAUUGCAGUUUUUCAAUUUAUUCAAGGUUUGCUCUU